rnacentral:rRNA from 1 species
GAUGAACGCUGGCGGCGUGCCUAAUACAUGCAAGUCGAGCGAACAGACGAGGAGCUUGCUCCUCUGACGUUAGCGGCGGACGGGUGAGUAACACGUGGAUAACCUACCUAUAAGACUGGGAUAACUUCGGGAAACCGGAGCUAAUACCGGAUAAUAUAUUGAACCGCAUGGUUCAAUAGUGAAAGACGGUUUUGCUGUCACUUAUAGAUGGAUCCGCGCCGCAUUAGCUAGUUGGUAAGGUAACGGCUUACCAAGGCAACGAUGCGUAGCCGACCUGAGAGGGUGAUCGGCCACACUGGAACUGAGACACGGUCCAGACUCCUACGGGAGGCAGCAGUAGGGAAUCUUCCGCAAUGGGCGAAAGCCUGACGGAGCAACGCCGCGUGAGUGAUGAAGGUCUCCGGAUCGUAAAACUCUGUUAUUAGGGAAGAACAAAUGUGUAAGUAACUAUGCACGUCUUGACGGUACCUAAUCAGAAAGCCGCGGCUAACUACGUG